ACCAGCAGCCAUAUCACCCUGAAACUCAGAACUAAGAAGUGGCAACCCACUCAAGUUAAGCAGGUGUGAGCCUGCACAGUAACUGGAUGGGAGACCUCCUGAGAAGCUAUGGUUGGUGCUGGAA
rnacentral:rRNA from 1 species